rnacentral:misc_RNA from 1 species
AACGCACAUUGCGCCCCUUGGUAUUCCGAGGGGCAUGCCUGUUCGAGCGUCAUUACACCAAUCAAGCCUCGCUUGGUAUUAGGCCAUCGCCCCCGUAACUGGCGGGCGUGCCUCAAACAUUUCGGCGGAGCCACACCGGCUUUGGGCGUAGUAGAAUUUAUCAAUAACGCUCUGUGGGACGGUGGGACUUUUGCCGCGCAACAGCACCUAUUUUUUAAAGGUUGACCUCGGAUCAGGUAGGGAUACCCGCUGAACUUAA